rnacentral:rRNA from 1 species
UACGUAGGGGGCAAGCGUUGUCCGGAUUUAUUGGGCGUAAAGAGCGUGUAGGCGGCUUUGCAAGUCCGUUGUGAAAACUCGAGGCUCAACCUCGAGACGCCGGUGGAAACUGCAAAGCUAGAGUCCGGAAGAGGAGAGUGGAAUUCCUGGUGUAGCGGUGAAAUGCGCAGAUAUCAGGAAGAACACCCGUGGCGAAGGCGGCUCUCUGGUACGUGACUGACGCUGAGACGCGAAAGCGUGGGGAGCGAACAGG